UAAUACAGAGAGUGCAAACGUUGUUCGGAAUUACUGGGCUUGAAGCGCACGUAGGCGGCGUCGUAAGUGUCGGGUGAAAUCCCACGGCUCACCCGUGGAACUGCCCGGCAUACUGCGACGCUCGAGUGUGGUAGGGAAGAGCGGAACUCCUGGUGGAGCGGUGAAAUGCGUAGAUAUCAGGAGGAACACCGGUGGCGAAGGCGGCUCUUUGGUCCACAACUGACGCUGAGGUGCGAAAGCCAGGGGAGCAAACGGGAUUAGAUACCCCGGUAGUCCUGGCCGUAAACGAUGGGCACUAGCUUGGGGUCUCCCUGUGUGAUCCCAGGUGAAGCAAAAGUGAUAAGUGCCCCGCCUGGGGAGUAUGGUCGCAAGGCUG
rnacentral:rRNA from 1 species